rnacentral:rRNA from 1 species
AACCAACAGGGAUUACCUUAGUAACGGCGAGUGAAGCGGUAAAAGCUCAAAUUUGAAAUCCUUUCGAGGAAUUGUAAUUUGAAGGUGAUUUUUUUUGAAUUCGGCCCCAAGUCCAUUGGAAAAUGGCGCCAAAGAGGGUGAUAGCCCCGUUGGCCACAUAAUUCAUUUAUAAAAAGUCUCCAAAGAGUCGAGUUGUUUGGGAAUGCAGCUCUAAGUGGGUGGUAAAUUCCAUCUAAAGCUAAAUAUUGGCGAGAGACCGAUAGCGAACAAGUACAGUGAUGGAAAGAUGAAAAGCACUUUGAAAAGAGAGUGAAACAGUACGUGAAAUUGUUGAAAGGGAAGGGCUUGCAAGCAGACACAAUUUUCGGAUUGGGCCAGCAUCGGUUGCAAGGGGUGGAAAAAUGGAGGAGAAUGUGGCCCUAGGACUUUUGUCCCAGGGUGUUAUAGCUCUUUUAAAUACACCCACUGGCGACCGAGGACUGCGAUUUUUUCAAGGAUGCUGGCAUANUGAUUGCAAGUCGCCCGUCUUGAAACA